UUUUUUUUGGAUGAAAGAGUAAUAGUAAUUACAACUUUGAAGAAUAAUAACUUGUAUAAAAUAUUAAUUAAAUAACUUGUUAUUUUUCAAUUAGUUACUUUGGUCUGUUUAGUCAUUUGAAAUUUGUAAAUAUUUCUAUUUUUCCUUCGAAGUGUGUACCAAUAAGUAGAAUUCAUUAAGAAAAAAUGUAAUUUUGUAAAAUAUGGUAUACAAAAUUCAAAUACACCCUAAACGUAGGGGGUAUUUUGUAAAUUUUUAUUGAGUAUCCAAUUUCAUGAGUGCAAGAAACCAAACAUGUCACAAGUCUUGCCUAAAUCAUUAUUUUUUGCAUCUCUGAGGUAUCAAAUCUUGUAGCUUUCCAAAGGAGAAAAUUUUGAGGUCCCUAUUUGAUGAUCAGAAGCAUAUUGUUCAUUAGCUUUUAACUUAAUUAAGUGAAUAUUUCUACACAACCAUAAGACACUUUCUUUCAGAAUUUUAAAUAUUUCUCAAUUUGAGAAAUAAUUGAAGCCAAACAUAAUUAUGUGGUCGAAUUGUCUAUAACAAUGAUGAGAUAUGCAUUUAGAGAAUGGUAUUUUGAUUCAAGCUUGAAAACUACAAUCUUUUAUUGGUUUGGAUGGAACAUUCUAAUGAGAAUAUUAAAAGGCAAAGUUAAAAUCUCAAUAUUGCAAAAUACUGUAAUUAAGCAUGCACAGUAUAGUUUAAUUAAUUUAAUGCAUAGUAUUAGUAGAGUAUAUUUUAUAUAAUCCCUUUUUAAGUGUUUGUAAGGGAGAGAUUAUUUGAAGUGAAAAAAUAU
rnacentral:lncRNA from 1 species